UUGGUUGAUAUCAAGUUUAUUCUGUUUUAGGGGAGCAAUGUGGUGAUUGAGAUAAGUUUUGGUGCUCCUAAAGUGACCAAAGAUGGAGUGACUGUUGCAAAGAGCAUUGAAUUCAAGGGUAAAGUUAAAAUGUUGGUGCCAGUCUUAUUAAGAAGGUUGCAAAUGCAAACAAUGAUGUAGCUGGUGAUGGAUGGCAAACCUUUUUUCAAUGAGCUGGAAGUAGUUGAAGGAAUGAAGCUUGACAGGGGCUACAUAUCUCCUUAUUUCAUAACAAAUCAGAAGAACUAGAAAUGUGAACUGGAGGAUUCUCUCAUUCUAAUUCAUGUUGUAGUUAAAGUCUUAGAGUUGGCUUUGAAGUGGAAGUUGCAAGAUUUGUUCAAAUGUUGCAGAGAAGUUUUUUUUUUUUUUUGAUAGGCAGUGUUGCAGAGAAGUUGAUAUCACUGGGUGGACAAAGUCUAGCAACGCUUUGGUGGGGGAAGAUUCUUGAGAGGAUGUCAUUGAGUGUGAUACAGUUUAUUUAUUGUUGGGAUCUCAAAAUUGUGGAAUUUAUUUUGGUGCACAAUUUUUAGUUUGCUUGAUUUCAGCACAGAUAUAUAGAUUGGGUAUCAAGUGUUAAUUUAGUCAUGUUUUGAUUCAUUUGGCUGCAUUUAUAAAAAAGGUUAAAAAAAGGUUAGGUAGCGGUUCUCUCUUUCUUUUUUUAAUCUUAGGUAGCGGUUUUUUUUUUUUUUUUAAUAUUAGGUAGCGGUUUGUUCCUUGAUGCGUAGCGGUUUUUAACCACUGCCCAUCUAAUACCAUGCGUUGCGGUUCAUGGAACCGCUGCCCAUCUUUUAAUUGGAUAGCGGUUAAAAACCGCUGCCCAACUUUAGCAACGCUCAGUUAUGCACCGGUCCCAGAAUCGCUGCCCAACUCAUAACAUAACCGCUACCCAACCCCUUUUUUGUGGUAGUGAUGGUAUGAGAGACUCAGCUCAUUCCUUCUGGAAAAUGAGUUUGUAAGGGGUAAAGUAGAUACAACUCUCUUUUGCAAAACUUAUAAAGAUGAUAUCUUAAUUGUGCAA